rnacentral:rRNA from 1 species
GGACAAGAAACUAAACAGGAUCCCCAUAGUAAUGGCGAAUGAACCGGGAUAAACUCAGCAUGGAAGUUGGGGCCUUUGGCUUUGACUUGUAAUCUGGUGAGGCAUUGCCAACAGAGGCGCAUAUGUAAGUCUCUUGGAAAAGAGCAUCAACGAAGGUGAGAGUCCUGAUUGUCAUGUGCAGCCCCCCUGUGCACGGUGUGCCUUCUAAGAGUCACGUUCCUUGGAUUGGAGCGCAAAUUGGGUGGUAACUUUCAUCUGAAGUUAAACAAUGGUUUGGGACCGAUAGGAAACAAGUACCAUGAGGGAAAGGUGAAAAGGACUUUGGAAAGAGAGUUAAAAGUGCCUGAAAUUGCUGAAGGGGAAGCGAAUGGAACCAGUGGUGCUGGGUGAGAUUGUCACAUGCUGCAAGGAUUGGUUGCUGCCACAACGCAAGUGUGCUGGCAAUUUGUGAACUGCUAGUGUGUGGUGUGUCUUACCUAGUGGGUCAUUGUGGGCUUAUGCAUUAAGAUACACCAAAGCAAGCGGGAGCAAGUUUACGAGUUUGUGAAUGUGUGUUGUUAUGCUUGUGCGUAAGCUUUAGUGUUUGUCUGGCUGCAGGGCUGUCCAUCCUCACGCUUUGCUGUGGUUGCGAUGAGCAUAACCUUCUGCACAGAU